GAUGAACGCUGGCGGCGUGCCUAAUACAUGCAAGUCGAGCGAACAGACGAGGAGCUUGCUCCUCUGACGUUAGCGGCGGACGGGUGAGUAACACGUGGAUAACCUACCUAUAAGACUGGGAUAACUUCGGGAAACCGGAGCUAAUACCGGAUAAUAUAUUGAACCGCAUGGUUCAAUAGUGAAAGACGGUUUUGCUGUCACUUAUAGAUGGAUCCGCGCCGCAUUAGCUAGUUGGUAAGGUAACGGCUUACCAAGGCAACGAUGCGUAGCCGACCUGAGAGGGUGAUCGGCCACACUGGACCUGAGACACGGUCAGACUCCUACGGGAGGCAGCAGUAGGGAAUCUUCCGCAAUGGGCGAAAGCCUGACGGAGCAACGCCGCGUGAGUGAUGAAGGUCUUCGGAUCGUAAAACUCUGUUAUUAGGGAAGAACAAAUGUGUAAGUAACUAUGCACGUCUUGACGGUACCUAAUCAGAAAGCCACGGCUAACUACGUG
rnacentral:rRNA from 1 species